CGCCGGCUUUCUCCUCCCGCCCCGCCUCAGCAGGCCCCGCCCGCGGCGAGCGGGACUCGUGCAAAAGGUGCGCUUCACACGGCCCCGGCCCCGCGCGCGCCCGGGGGCGGGGCUCCCCCUGCGGGCCGCGGGGGCGGGGCCCGGCGUGAGGGGCGCUGUGACGUCACGCGUCCUGAGCGGGGAUUUCGGGUGGGAUUUGCGCUUUUUCUGGAACCAACAAACACAGCAGCAAGAGGAAGUGUGGAAGAAUAUUCCAUGAGCAGAAGAUGGAGAGGAGACAGCAGCCUUUUUGCACCUCUUUGCAGCUGUAGAGAUGUAGCUGUGUGUGUGGGCCCAUGGAGGCAGGAAGAGAACUGGUGCCCUGAGAAGGAAGACUUAGCCAGAAUGCAAAAUAUUUUUCCUAUACUUGGAGAUUUCAAAGGGAUUGUGAUUCAGGAUCUGUGCAAAGGUUCCUGACUCCAUUUCAGCAGUAAAAUGACAGAAGGAGCUCACAAAUCCACAAUGAAAGCGUUAUCAAUGAGAAUAACUGAGAGCAGUGAUUCAGGACAGGCUUCCCCUGUGCUUGGCAGCAUCCCCGCGAGCCCACACCUGGAUGUCACACUGUUAUCCUUGUGUGCCAUCCCCUCACCUUUGCUUAACCUUCCUCACAUGGCAGAGCUGGCUUGAGCACCACAACCACUGCUGUGCUGACCUAUGACCCUGAACCCUGUUUUCUGUGAGAGUAUCCUUGUGUCAAAAUCCGGGUGUGCUACACACUGGACGUAGCGGUAGCAGCCCACAGAGAAUUCUUUAAUGACCAUUGUAAAGACAGUCAGCAAUUGGAUUACUAUAACAUUCUCCUCACCUGCCUGGCUUCCCGUUGCCCAAACAUCACUCACUAAGAAGUAAAUAACUGGGAAGCUGAAUGGCAAUUACAUGGAAAUGGAACAUGCCCAUGUUGUGUCGUCAUCACUCCCACACAGGGCAUUAGUUAACAAGGAAGAAUUGCUCAAAUUUAGGAUAUAUGGUUCAAAGAAACUGGUACAGCUCAAGCCUCCUUUAAUUCCUGCAGGUGAAGUGGGUCACCAUUUUGCAGGGAUUGCUGUUAAUCCAAUGGAAUUUAGCUAGGAAGGAAAGGAGGACAACAAGUUUGGUGUCUCUCAUUGGCUCGGCUUCAGGAAUUUGUGAAACUGGGUUUUAGUUGCCACUGGGGUGUCAUCAUAAUUUUCUUGAUUAAAGGUAUUUAGUCCCCUCCUGAGAGAAAUAAACAGGAUAUCAAUAUCAGUAGAACCCUGAUGAAUAAAACUUCGUUAUAAACUGUG